CCUUUGGCCAGUGCAGGUCAGCUGUCCUGUCCAUGCUUACUCCUGGUUUCUGGUGCACCUGCUCCCUGCCAGAGCAGGGGAACUCAAAAGUGCUUAAUUGAGAGCAAGAACUGCUUAGCAACAACUGAACGUUAGUGUGUUAUCAGCAUUAUUCUCAUCCUAAAUCCAAGGCACCGCACUGCCAGCUACAAAGAAGAAAAUGUAACUCUAUCCCAGUUGAUACCAGAUCAGAUCUCCAGAGCUGGGUGCAGUACACCCAGGUGGGUGUCUCAAGAGAGUGGAGUAGAGGGGCAGAAUCACCUCCCUUGACCCGCUGGCCGUGUUCCCCUUGAUGCAGCCCCAGGAUAUGAUUGGCUCUCAGGUCUAAGAAAGAUGCAUAUCAGAUUUGUGCUUCACAUGUGCAAAUAUUUGGUGAAGCAAUACCUUACUAAUUCACCUUUCAUUAGUGAGAAGCUCUAAUUUAAGCAUUCUGACUGAACUUUUUGAGAGGAGUAUAUUUUGGUCUCUUACCUAUUACCUGGUCUGCUCAAUUAGGUGGUGUUUCUAUAUUAUAUGUUGGAUGUGACUGGUAAAAGUAUGAACUUGUUUUUAACUUGGUGAAUUGGAAGACUUGGGAGGCUUUCCAACAAUCUCAGCAGGAGCCAAUUUCUCCCAAAACACAUUGGGCUUUUUCCGGCCCCUCUGUUGUUCCAUCCUGUUCUAUGCACAUGAACUGGGGCGGGGGGGGGGAGGGAGGGGUGACUGUGACAUCCUUUGGUUCCACGGUUGUCAGGGCCAGUCUGCAGUUGCUGCACCUUGGGGAGCUGCUCAUGCUCAUGCUGGAGGACACAGCAAAAGAAUAAUGCUGCGCUUUGGCACCUGUCGAGCCUGGAUCUUCAUGGUCCUGUUUUGUAGCAUCCAUUCACUUCUUGCAGCACCAAUUCAUCCUGGUUCAGAACAGAGUGCAGAGGCACCCAGCAAACCUAACAUGACAAUGAAAGGUGUAUUUGAAUCUUUCUUAAGCUUCUUCAGACCAAUGACUUGCCGCCUCAGCAGUGAGCAACUCUUAACAACUCCUUGUACUGUAGAAGGCCUGAACAUGUCUGAAUGCUCAAAAAUUCACUGCUGUCCUUUCAAAAUUGGCCAUGAAGAGCAGUGCUACAUGCCAGUGAGAGACGAUGUGCAGCUGGCCAUUCGAGUGAUUUUGCUUACUGGAGGAGGAUUUUUGACUUUGGGAUUUCUACCAAUCUGUUGCUGUGCCUUUUUGCAGAGAACUCCGUGUAUCAAUCCUUUACGAAAGAUAAGUAAAAAAGUACAGAAAAUUGCAAAGGAGAGAAGAGCAUUUGGUGAAAAGACUCCUGAUGAAGAGAUUCAUCGCCACUUACUGGACUGACUUAAGAAAGAACCAAAAGGACAGAAAAAAGAAGGAACAUCCACCUGAUCCUGAAGAUCAAUCAGAAGACAUCAGGAUUGUUUGACUAUCUCCUAGAAAAUGACAUAUUUUAUUUUAGCAUUGAAGUAAUGCAAAGUUGUUAACCCUUGAUUAUAGUACUGAUUUUGCAGUAAAUGUUUUUUUCUUCUAGUUUCUUG
rnacentral:lncRNA from 12 species